rnacentral:rRNA from 1 species
AUUGAACGCUGGCGGCAGGCUUAACACAUGCAAGUCGAGCGGAGACUUCGGUCUUAGCGGCGAACGGGUGAGUAAUACCUAGGAAUCUGCCCAUUAGCGGGGGAUAACGUUUCGAAAGGGACGCUAAUACCGCAUACGCCUACGGGGAAAGGCAGGGAGUCUUCGGACCUUGCACUAAUGGAUGAGCCUAGGCCGGAUUAGCUAGUUGGUAGGGUAAAGGCCUACCAAGGCGACGAUCUGUAGCUGGUCUGAGAGGAUGGCCAGCCACACUGGAACUGAGACACGGUCCAGACUCCUACGGGAGGCAGCAGUGGGGAAUCUUAGACAAUGGGGGCGAACCCUGAUCUAGCCAUGCCGCGUGAGUGAUGAAGGCCCUAGGGUUGUAAAGCUCUUUCAGCUGGGAAGAUAAUGACGGUACCAGCAGAAGAAGCCCCGGCUAACUCCGUG